rnacentral:tRNA from 1 species
GUUAUUGUAGCUUAUGAAGAGUGUGGCUUUGAAGAUGCUAAGGAAAUGGAAUUCAAUAAUG